AGAUUUAUGGUGUAAUGGAUAGCACACUAGGUUACGACCCUAGGAGUAUGAGUUCGAAUCUUAUUAAAUCUACAA
rnacentral:tRNA from 1 species